rnacentral:rRNA from 1 species
CAGCAGCCGCGGUAAUACGUAGGUCCCGAGCGUUGUCCGGAUUUAUUGGGCGUAAAGGGAGCGCAGGCGGUUUAGUAAGUCUGAAGUUAAAGGCAUUGGCUCAACCAAUGUAUGCUUUGGAAACUGUUAGACUUGAGUGCAGAAGGGGAGAGUGGAAUUCCAUGUGUAGCGGUGAAAUGCGUAGAUAUAUGGAGGAACACCGGUGGCGAAAGCGGCUCUCUGGUCUGUCACUGACGCUGAGGCUCGAAAGCGUGGGUAGCGAACAGGAUUAGAUACCCGUGUAGUCCCUGUCUCUUAUACA